GUCUAUGGCCAUACCUCCCUGAACACACUCAAUCUCGUCUGAUCUCGGAAGCUAAGCAGGGUCGGGCCUGGUUAGUACUUGGAUGGAAGACUGCCUGGGAAUACCAGGUGCUGUAGGCU